rnacentral:lncRNA from 1 species
GUUUGCUCCUGUUUGCCUUUCCAACUUCUGCCAUGCGAGGACACAGCACCCUCCCCUCUAGAGAAUGCAGCGUUCAAGGCACCAUCUUGUAAGCAGAAAUCAGACACUAAACCUGCUGGCAACUUGAUCUUGGACUUCCAGCCUCCAAAACUGUGAGAAAUAAAUUUCCGUUCUACAUAAAUCACCCAGUCUCAGGCAAAAUUCAUCCAGAAAUCAAGAACAAAAGAGCCUGGGUGGCCAGUCUACAGAGGCCAACUUUCAGGAAAAAGAAUCAGGGCAAAGAAGGGCAGCAAGAACUGGAAAGUCGAGUGAAGAAUUCAGCAGCAAAGAGGAGAGGAAAGGGGGACAAUGAGAAUGGGGACAUGAAGGAGGAGUGAAGGGCACUACAACCAAAUCUUGAUAAGUAUUGGCCCUUAGCACAGACUGAACAUAGGUUGAAAAGGAGAAGGUAUUUUUCCUCUUGGGUAUUUAUGAAAUACAAGCAGAUUAAUACACUUGUUUGGAUUGUCAUUUGCUUAUUUAGAUAAAUUACUUCUUUUGUGUAUUAAUAAUAUUCAUAAUAACAACAUAAAAAUAACUUUACAACAUUUUCAUUUUUAGCCUAAAUGUUACUCAUUUCUCAAAAUGGUUUUGUAAUUUAGUAAAAAGACAUGUAAAUUUCAACUUACAGAUCAUCGUGAUUUUACUUACAGUCUCAGUUCUUCAAAUAAAAACUGUAAUUUUCAAAACGAACAA